AUGAAAAUGAAAAGAAAGGCCAGGCCGCAGGCGGCAGCAUCGAUGGUGCUCCGACUCCCAAGCAGGAAAUGCAGGCAGGAAGGCAGGCAGCGAGUUGAGUAUUGGAUUCGGAGGCACGCACCGCACCGGCCUCAAAAGCAUCGCUCCGUGCGCUCCGCCUUCGCUGUAGCCUCGGCGCACGCAAGGGACCGCGGCACAGGCCCGUCUCGAGAUGCGCGAAAGGAGGAGAGACAUAUUGCUACCAUUUUCCUUUUUCCCUUUUCAGCCACCGUCGCAAGUUCCUCCUCUCCAUGUGGCAUGCCGUGUUGGUCAAGGUGA
rnacentral:rRNA from 1 species